AUUGAACGCUGGCGGCAUGCUUUACACACGCAAGUCGAACGGCAGCACGGGAGCAAUCCUGGUGGCGAGUGGCGAACGGGUGAGUAAUGUAUCGGAACGUGCCCAGUCGUGGGGGAUAACGUGGCGAAAGCUACGCUAAUACCGCAUACGAUCUAUGGAUGAAAGCGGGGGACCGUAAGGCCUCGCGCGAUUGGAGCGGCCGAUAUCAGAUUAGGUAGUUGGUGGGGUAAAGGCCUACCAAGCCGACGAUCUGUAGCUGGUCUGAGAGGACGACCAGCCACACUGGGACUGAGACACGGCCCAGACUCCUACGGGAGGCAGCAGUGGGGAAUUUUGGACAAUGGGCGCAAGCCUGAUCCAGCAAUGCCGCGUGCAGGAUGAAGGCCUUCGGGUUGUAAACUGCUUUUGUACGGAGCGAAAAGGCUCUCUCUAAUACAGGGGGCUCAUGACGGUACCGUAAGAAUAAGCACCGGCUAACUACGUGCCAGCCGCCGCAGUAAAAC
rnacentral:rRNA from 1 species